rnacentral:tRNA from 1 species
UCCCUAGUGGCUCAGUUGGUAAAGAAUCUGCCUGCAAUGCAGAAGACCCAGGUUCAAUCCCUGGGUUGGCAA